ensembl:lncRNA
AUGGUAUUAGUACUUAUAUGGAAAAACAAGCAAACAAACAUAAAACAACAGCAACAAGUCGAAGCAGGAAUUCAGGUUACAAGACAAAGACUUCAAUUUUUGCUCAUGGCAGACAUUGGACACUUUAUUCCUGAUAGAGGUUCGAGCAUUUAUGUAAAAGGAGGAAAGAAGAAGCCUAGGAACAUAAGAAUAACUCAGUGGCACAUGGGGAAGAGAGGAGUCUCAGAGCAUCAACUAUUGAGGCUUCAACCAGGAUAUAGAAAGGAUUUCACACCCAAAGUGACGGUGACCUGGCUCUCAGCAUAACAUCAGAAGGUGCUGCUUCUCAGAGGUUCUUUGUCAGUUAUCAAUUUAUUACCUGUCAGCUUCAAAUUUACCCUUUGUUAUCUGUUUUGCAAAAAUAUAAAUAGGUCUUUUAAAUAAUGAUUUCCCCUGCUGUCUGGCAUGAUGUUAAAUUUUGUCAGUAGGAGACACUGAAAAGUCCCUCUAGGAGGAAGCAAUAGUCCUUUCUAGUUCUGGUGUGCUUUCUUGGCAGACUCCUGCAGCAUGCCUAGGUCAUGUAGUAUACACAGCUUCCUUAGUGCCUGGCUUCUGCAGUGCAUGGAUUCUCCAGCAACAGGCUCCUGAGUAUGCACAGCUUCCCCAGCACCAGGCUCUUGCAGUGCACAGCGUCCCCAGCAUCAGGGUCCUGGAGCACAUACAGGUUGCCCAGCACCAGGCUCCUGCUGUGCACAGCUUCCCCAGCACCAGGCUCCUGGAGUGUGACAACUUCCCCAGCACUUGCGCGCUAUCCUCAGUACUCAGCAGCAAGUGAUUUUGUGACACAGUGUCUCAGGCAAGCCACCUUUUCCCAGUACCCUAGAAGAUAGAUGAGUAUGCAUGGCAGAACUUUUCUGCCAUCCUGCGAGCCAUCCAUACCAUGACCUCCGCCAAGGUCUGGAUUUCAGCCCUGGGGCAAUGGGUGAGAAACUCUUGAUAGGGUUCUCUAUUUCAGCCCUGGGGAGAGUGGUUGCUCCUUAGCUCUUCUACACCUGUGUUCUGUAGUGCACUCUUUACCUCUUAUUAGCUAAUCCCUUACUACUUUAGUGCUCUGUUAUAGCUAGUAACUUUUAUAUUAAACUUUCUCUGUUCAAAUUUCUACAUAGUUCCUGUCUUGUGAUUGGACCCUGACUUAUGCAGGUACUCACAAUUGUCCUUAGCUAGGUGGUGGCUAAAGGGGCUCAGGACUGAUUCCUAGGCCAGUAGCAAAGGCUUUAGGCUCAAAGCAAAGCCACAAAGCAAGUUAAUCCAUGACAUCACUGGAAGCAUCUAUAACUUCCUGAGUUCAAACACUGACAUUCUGUCUUCCCCAGAAGAAGGGGUGAAUUUAGUUCUAUUUCUCAGGGUGAUUGGAAUGUUCUUUGUCUAACGUAUGUUUCAAUACUAACUUAGAUUCAUCUAUUUCUUUGUUAGAAGGAAGAUCCGGAGAAAGCUAGCUUUAUAGAUGAGGAAACUUUCUAAACAAGAUCUCUGUGGCCGAAUGGUAUUAAAGUGUCCUCUAUGGGCUCUAUAAUUCCAGCUGGCCGUGUCUUUUGGCCACUGAGAAAAUCUGGCUUUGUAUUUCAGUAAAAUGUUGAAAUUAGGUUACUUUUAACUAAGCUUGAAUUUGGAAAAUAUGAUCAUACUGAGUAAGUAAAUCAUUCUAAAUAAUGCUCUAAAUACCUUCUAGUUUUUCAUUUCUAUGGCACUGAGAUAAUCCAUAUAGGAUUUCUUGGCUUUUGCAGUAGUGAAUAUGCCAAUGUACUCUGAUUAAAUUAUUGGAAAAUGUAGAGAAAAUUUCUCCUUUUGGAAAUAAUUGUAUUAGGUCAGAUUCUCAUCAUAAGAAAUUUCUUGCUAAGAAAUUUAGAAAAGCAAAACAGAAAAAUCAAAAAAGUUGUUUUGCUCUGUCCUUAAACUCUAAGUACAUUAUUCUAUGUAAUCUUAAGGAAUGGUUACAUAGAAAACAUGAGAAAAUAUUUUCCAGAUAGAAAGUUGAUAGCGCUAAAUAGAAUAAGAACUUAGUGUAUUGUUUAUAAACAUGCACGUUAAUGUAAAAUAUUGUCACUAUUGGAGGAAUAUAUAUGGUAACUCAAUUAGGGAAAUUACCAUUUUCUUAUAAUCUUUUUCUUUAAAUUGAAAUAUUGGAGUGUAAUUUAAACUUUGGAAACUUUAAAUUCUAGCUGUUCUAUCACUACAUACAGAACGGUUUCCCCCCAAAAUAUUUUCAAUUAGAACAUUUUUAAAUUUCAUCUUACAAUAAUAUCUAGGCUUUUCCCUAUGCCCAUUUAAUUCUCUCAAAGAAAGAUUGUCUGCUUUAGGAAUAAAAAUAGCUCUUUCAGGCCUCAUUAGCACUAAUAACAAUUUUUAAAAAUAAUGUUAAACAAACACAACGCUACAUUUCAAUGUAAUGUUAUUUAGUGCAAGGGCAAUGCCUUGCAAACCUCAGAAGAGCCUAGAAAACAGCAGAAUCUAAAAUUUUAAGUUGUUAAGAAAAUACUAGAUUAUAACGAAUGAGAUUAUUCUAAUGAAGGGAGAAACAUAUAUAAAGCAAUUUUAGAAAGAUUUAUAUUUGAAAUAAUGAUUUUUUAAAAGUUUGAACCCUAUAACACAACUCAUUCCCUAAUGGGUUUCUGUACCUGAGAUCUUCCCAAUUAGCUUAAAACAUGACAUUUUUAACUAUCAGUAUAAGUCAAAAUAGUUACUGUUUAUUGAGUAUUUGCUUUAAAAUAAGUUCUUUAUACAUAUUAUCUCACUAAAUAUAAUUUCUGGUUUCUUGGUUUAGAACUUGAGGCACAGAGAGGUUAAAACAUUUCCCCAAAAGCACAUAGUUGGUAAGUGGUAGAAAUGGAAUUUGAUGUAGAAAUAUAUGAAAAUAUGUACCUUUUCACUAUCUUCACUAUCCUACAUUGCUUCUUCCUGAUUCUAUGGUUAAUAUGAGUCAUUGUGGAACAUAGUGAGUAACUUGGUACUAUAAAGGAAUUUGCUUGUUUUUGGAAAAAAAAAAAAGGUAAUUACGUUUCAAAGCAACGAAAUUAGAAAUAUUUUUUUAAGCUUCUUUUUUAAAGCAGAACUUUCGGUUCAUUAUUUGAGAGACUUAAUGCAUGUUUUCACUUUAAGUCAAAAAAUAUUCCGAUUUCAAGAUGUAUUGCCUUGUCUAAUGUAGCUAUGAGCCCUUCUCGAAACUGUGUGGAAGCCUGAAGAAACUGUAAUGCAACUUCCAAAAGUGUCUAACCCUACUAGGGAGUAGCUUUGGCAGUAGGAGAAUUUGGCUCUGCAGAUUUCAGCCAAGUCCCAGCCCAAGAAGUUCAAUUAGCUAGGAAAGAUUAAACAUCUGAAAAUGUAAAUUAUUAGUUCAGUUGCAACUCUAUGUGUUACAUGUGUAGAAAUGCAAAAACACAUUUGUUCGAAGGAUUUAUCAUUAACUGCCACAUUGCACAGUACGAAUACUUAGAUAUGCUUGCAUAAACACAUGAGUCACCUUUUAUAAAAUAUGAUUUUCCAUGUAAGCAAACUAUUGAUGAAUGUGGAGUCUAGGACAUUUUCUCUUUGGCUGUUGUAAAAAUUUUCUAUGAACGAUAAGAGAACAUCUUUGAAUGCAAUAAGUUCAAGAGGAUAGCUUGUCACUGAGGGGAAGGGAAGCCAAGGGGUCCCAACAUCUCUCACUCCCAUGUUCUAAUGCAAGCGUGCUUGCCAGGAAGCUUUCACUGUCUGCGAUGAGUCAUGGGUCUUGUGAGUUUCCUCCAGUUUAGGAAAAGAGAGACACAGCUUCCUCCUGAUGUCUUCUGAGGUUGACACUGUUUAAAUGUGUCUUAUCAUGGAAUUCUGAGGUCUUUUCUUUCUUUCUUUCCUUCCUUUCUUCCUUCCUUCCUUCCUUCUUUCUUUCUUUUUUUCUUUCUUUCUUUCUCUUUUUCUCUCUCUUUCUCUCUCUCUUUUUCUCUCUCUCUCUCUUUCUCUCUCUCUUUCUCUCUUUCUUUCUUAAUUAGAACAGAGAAUGAAAUGCAAAGGGACAUUGAGGGUAUGUCCACUCUGUGGAUCUUAUUCCAGGUGACUCAUGUUUCUGUAUCUCUUUCAAAAUAAGUGCUUAGCUGUCUUAGUGGAAUUAAGAAAGAUGAGAAAAUUCUGUUGUUUUUCAAACUCUUUUUUAUUUUGAGGUCUAGUUCUGGAAAUA